AACGAACGCUGGCGGCAUGCCUAACACAUGCAAGUCGAACGAGACCUUCGGGUCUAGUGGCGCACGGGUGCGUAACGCGUGGGAACCUGCCCUUAGGUUCGGAAUAACUCCCCGAAAGGGGUGCUAAUACCGGAUAAUGUCUUCGGACCAAAGAUUUAUCGCCUUUGGCUGGGCCCGCGUUGGAUUAGCUAGUUGGUAGGGUAAAAGCCUACCAAGGCGACGAUCCAUAGCUGGUCUGAGAGGAUGAUCAGCCACACUGGGACUGAGACACGGCCCAGACUCCUACGGGAGGCAGCAGUGGGGAAUAUUGGACAAGGGGCGAAAGCCUGAUCCAGCAAUGCCGCGUGAGUGAUGAAGGCCUUAGUGUUGUAAAGCUCUUUUACCCGGGAUGAUAAUGACAGUACCGGGAGAAUAAGCUCCGGCUAACUCCGUG
rnacentral:rRNA from 1 species